rnacentral:rRNA from 1 species
AUUGAACGCUGGCGGCAGGCCUAACACAUGCAAGUCGAACGAGUGGCGGACGGGUGAGUAAAGUCUGGGAAACUGCCCGAUGGAGGGGGAUAACUACUGGAAACGGUAGCUAAUACCGCAUACCAUCGGAUGUGCCCAUAUGGGAUUAGCUAGUGGGUGGGGUAAUGGCUCACCUAGGCGACGAUCCCUAGCUGGUCGGAGAGGAUGACCAACCACACUGGAACAGAAACGCGGUCCAGACUCCUACGGGAGGCAGCAGUGGGGAAUAUUGCACAAUGGGCGCAAGCCUGAUGCAGCCAUGCCGCGUGUAUGAAGAAGGCCUUCGGGUUGUAAAGUACUUUCAGCGGGGAGGCGUUACCCGCAGAAGAAGCACCGGCUAACUCCGUGCCAGCCGCCGCGGUAAUAC